rnacentral:rRNA from 2 species
UAGGGAAUCUUCGGCAAUGGGGGGAACCCUGACCGAGCAACGCCGCGUGAGUGAAGAAGGUUUUCGGAUCGUAAAGCUCUGUUGUUAAGGAAGAACGAGUGUGAGAAUGGAAAGUUCAUGCUGUGACGGUACUUAACCAGAAAGGGACGGCUAACUACGUGCCAGCAGCCGCGGUAAUACGUAGGUCCCGAGCGUUGUCCGGAUUUAUUGGGCGUAAAGCGAGCGCAGGCGGUUAGAAAAGUCUGAAGUGAAAGGCAGUGGCUCAACCAUUGUAGGCUUUGGAAACUGUUUAACUUGAGUGCAGAAGGGGAGAGUGGAAUUCCAUGUGUAGCGGUGAAAUGCGUAGAUAUAAGGAGGAACACCGGUGGCGAAAGCGGCUCUCUGGUCUGUAACUGACGCUGAGGCUCGAAAGCGUGGGGAGCGAACAGG